AUUGAACGCUGGCGGCAUGCUUUACACAUGCAAGUCGAACGGUAACAGGGUGCUUGCACCGCUGACGAGUGGCGAACGGGUGAGUAAUGCGUCGGAACGUGCCGAGUAGUGGGGGAUAACGCAGCGAAGGUUGUGCUAAUACCGCAUACGUACUGAGGUAGAAAGUGGGGGACCUUCGGGCCUCACGCUAUUCGCGCGGCAGACGUAGGAAUAGCUAGUAGGUGAGGUAAAGGCUCACCUAGGCGACGAUCAGUAGCGGGUCUGAGAGGAUGAUCCGCCACACUGGGACUGAGACACGGCCCAGACUCCGACGGGAGGCAGCAGUGGGGAAUUCUGGACAAUGGGCGAAAGCCUGAUCCAGCCAUGCCGCGUGUCUGAAGAAGGCCUUCGGGUUGUAAAGGACUUUUGUCAGGGAGGAAAUCCCUAGUGCUAAUAACACUGGGGGAUGACAGUACCUGAAGAAUAAGCACCGGCUAACUACGUGCCAGCCGCCGCGGUAA
rnacentral:rRNA from 1 species